rnacentral:rRNA from 1 species
AUUGAACGCUGGCGGCGUGCUUAACACAUGCAAGUCGAUCGGUAACGCGGGGGCAACCCUGGCGACGAGAGGCGGACGGGUGAGGAGCGCUUGGGAAUCUGCCUAUCAGCGGGGGACAACACGGGGAAACUCGUGCUAAUACCGCAUACGCUCUACGGAGGAAAGCCGGGGACCGCAAGGACUGGCACUGAUAGAUGAGCCCAAGCCGGAUUAGCUAGUGGGCGGGGUAACGGCCCACCAAGGCGACGAUCCGUAGCUGGUCUGAGAGGACGAUCAGCCACACUGGAACUGAGACACGGUCCAGACUCCUACGGGAGGCAGCAGUGGGGAAUUUUGGACAAUGGGGGCAACCCUGAUCCAGCCAUGCCGCGUGAGUGAAGAAGGCCUUCGGGUUGUAAAGCUCUUUCGGCCGGGAAGAAAUCGCACGGGCUAAUACCCUGUGUGGAUGACGGUACCGGAAUAAGAAGCACCGGCUAACUACGUGCCAGCCGCCGCGGUAAGAC